rnacentral:rRNA from 1 species
CCCUUAGAUGUCCUGGGCCGCACGCGUGCUACACUGACACUUACACCGAGUUUUUCCAAUGCCGAAAGGCCAUUGGUAAUCAGCAAUAAGUGUCGUGAUGGGGAUAGAUCUUUGGAAUUAUUGAUCUUGAACGAGGAAUGCCUAGUAAUCGUAGGUCAUCAGCCUGCGAUGAUUACGUCCCUGCCCUUUGUACACACCGCCCGUCGCACCUACCGAUUGAAUGGUCCGGUGAAAUCUCGGGACGGCGGCUUGGUCGCUUGCGUCCGACUGCUGAAACUUGAUUAAACCAUAUCAUUUAGAGGAAGGUGAANUCGUAACA